rnacentral:lncRNA from 10 species
CCCACUCAUAAUGUGGGUGGGCACCAUCCAAUCGGCUGCCAGUGAAGCCAGAAAAAGCAGGCAGAAGAAGGUGGAAGAAGCUGAUUUGCUGAGUCUUCUGGCCUUCAUCUUUCUCCCGUGUUGGAUGCUUCCUGCCUUCUAACAUCAGAUUCCAAAUUCUUCUGCUAUUGGACUCUUGGACUUACACCCGUGGUUUGCCAGGGGCUCUCAGACCUUUGGCCACAGGCUGAAGGCUGCACUCGCAGCCUCCUUACUUUUGAGGUUUUGGGACUUGGACUGAGUCACUACUGGCUUCCUUGCUCCUCAACUUGCAGACGGCCUAAGGUGGGACUUUACCUUGUGAUCGUCUUAAGGUUCCACUCUUGGAGUAAAUGGAGAAAUUUAUAACUGCGCGAUAACACCGCCCUGACCUUCUCUACUCAGCGUGAGAAUUAAUUACCUGAGGCCAGUCCUAUGGAACAUUGUGAAGGCACGAUUCAAAGACGCCAGCCAACCAUCUGGCACUUGAAAGAGGCUAAGAAAGCCAGUUCCAUGGACUCUCCCCAUCAUGGCAUCGGCGGUGAGGAAGAACACUCCUAAAAGAGUGGGGGCCUGUACUGGCAGCCUAGGGCUUAUCUGCAGGAUGGAAAAGCUUCCAGGACAUAAGCCCAUCACAGGGCUUACCCAGCUGCCUUUGAGAAAUGUUUGGGGUCACAUUGGCUAAAAUUAAGUACUUUGUGGUGAACUGGAUUUGACUGGAACUAAAGGAUCGACUUCCAAGCUCACUCCUGUGGCUGUCGGCAGGAGGCUUCAGUUCCUUACCACAUAGACCUUUCCACAGCAUGAGGGCUCCAGUGUCUGCAGAUUUGACUGGAACUAGAGGAUCAACUUCCAAGCUGGAACUAGAGGAUCAACUUCCAAGCUCACUCCUAUGGGUGCUGGCAGGACGCUUCAGUUCCUCACCACAUAGACCUUUUCACAGCAUGGCUUCCUCUAAAGUCUCUGCGGAAGAUGCUCUUUGUGGAGUGAAUCGUUAACUGGGGAGGAGGCCACCUAGAUUCAGUUAUAGAACAUCGUGGAUUAGAUUGUCAUACAUCAAGGAGCCGAGGACCAUUCCCUGGGUAGCGAAGAACGUCCAGUACUACAUUGGAUUAAUGAUGCAUGCAGAUAUCCUUGUCUGAUUUCAUUCUUGGAGGAGAAGCAUUCAGUCUUUCACCAUCAGAAAUGAAACUUCCUCAGCUUGAGUUCUUGAGUGAAGAUAGUAAAAAGAAGAAUGUGUUCCAAGUGAAGGACACGUAACAUGAGAAAUAAACCUUUGCUGUUUUCAGCUACUGUCAUUUUAGGAGUGCCUGUUACCUCGGCUGAACAUAACCUGUUCUAGUGAGUGCACCUGUUUUAAGCCUAGCAAGAGGAUGACUCAAUGUGCUAUGAAGAAACGGCAUACACAGAUUACAGUCCAUUUAGAAAAAAAAAAAAAACAAAGGAGGAACUUAUUAAAGUUGGUAACUAGGUUUCCUGAAGAUUGGGUCUCUGCAAUUGGAUCUGCUCUUCUCUCCAUAGGACUUCACUGGACCUCCAGAAUCUUCUUCAUGGAUAUUCAUUGCGUAAGAUAAAGACUCAGUGCAUUAGCACUGAGAUUCUAAUUCUGCAUUAGAACUGAGAGUUAAUGUAAAGUGGUGUUAAAAUGAGUGUUAUAUGUACACAUAUUUAUUUUUUGAUUGUUGGUUAAUGUUUGCUCCCUAAACUAGACUCUAAAAUCCAUCAUAGCAAAGACUGAAUCAGUUUAUCACUGUGUCCCUAAAUAACUAUGAAUGAAUGAGUGAAUAUAUGUAGAUAUGUAUCACUGAGCAUUCCUUGAGUGUUUCAGUGGGUGUGGAGCAGCUGUCUCUGUCAAAAGGCACAGGAUGUGGUGGGGUGUGGGGUGAGAAGGUUUGUGGUGUGAUCCACGAUCCACAGCCAGCAGAUUUCCUGACUCAGAGCUCAGAAGAGAGAAACCUGCACACUUGAAAUGUAACAGGAGAAAUGCUUAUAAGUACACUACUGUGAAGUCAAAUACAAUAGCAUAUUUCAGUGACAUGAAAAAUAAUAAAUAUGCAUUAUAUAGAUUCUCCUUGAUUUACGAUGGAGCUACGUCCUGAUAAGCCCAUCACAGGUUGAAGAUAUCAUUAAGUAGAAAAUACAUGUAAUACACCUAACCUACCAAGCAUCAUAGCUUAGCUCAGCCUCCCUUAAACAUCCUCAGAACACUUACCUUAGCCUACAGUUGGGCAAAUUAUCUGGCAACACGGCACACUCUAGGGUGUGGGUUGCUUACCCUCGUGAUCACAGGGCUGGCUGGGAGCUGCAGCUCGCUGUCACUGCCCAGCAUCCCAAGAGUAUUGUACUGUUUAUCAACAUCCUGGGGAAAGAUGAAAACUCAAAAUUUGAAGUUUGAUUUCUACUGAAUGCAUUUUGCUUUCGUACCAUUGUAAAGUAGACAAAUCAUAAGUCAAGCCAUCAUAAGUUGAGGACCAUCUAAAAAACAACGCAGCUGCCUGUCUUGUUUCAGCUUUGGUCCAUGUAGAAUACAUGUACAUUUGUCUUCAUUUAUAAAGAUGCCAAUGCUAAUUUAGCCAGUUGUCCCAAUGCACAGCAUAAGAGGUAGUUACUUUUUUUUUUUUUUUUUUUUUUUGAGAUAGAGGCUUGCUCUGUUGCCCAGGCUGGAGUACAGUGGUGCAAUCAUGGCUCACUGCAAACUGCCUCCCAGGUUCAAGCGAUUCUUGUGCCUUAGCCUCCCGAGUAGCUGGGACUAUAGGCAUGCGCCACUAUGCCUGGCUAAUUCUUGUAUUUUUAGCUGAGACAAAGUUUCUCUAUGUUGGCCAGGCUGAGGUGAUUACUUUUAAAACAUUGUAAAUGGCUUCUAAAGCAAUUGUUGAUAGUUAUUCAUCAUGCAGUACUCAUACACAUUUAUAUAUAAAUAUAAAUAAUUGCUUUUCAGUCCAACAUUGCUAUUAGUUUUUAUUCAAUUUCAAAUUCUGGUUUUGUGACUCGUUUGUAGCAUCAGCUAUCUUAGCGUCAUGGGUGGGCUGACUGGCCCUUUAACAUCAUCUGCAGCUUUUUUCAAGCCAUACUGGGUGCAAAAUUGACAGGUAAGUAAUUGAGAAAUAUGGAUUAUACUGCAAAUAAUUUUAAUUUUAAAUUUCUCGAUGGUGGAAUUUGGAUAAGUGUUUGUGUAAUUCUUACUGUAUCUUUAGAGAUAGAAAAGAUAUAUGUGGAUUGAUUUCUUCCUUCAUGGGAAAACAGUUAAGAAGACAAGGCUAACAGAGGUAGAAUGCUUUUCUAUCAUUUUGUAUAAUUCAAUAUCAUACACCAUAUUAUGUGAUAAAGAACUGUAGAUGCUAUAGAAAUAUACAGAAAAAAGAGAUGAUUCAGCUGAAUUAAUCAGAGAAGGCUCACAUGGGCCUCAGAGCUUGAGUUGGAUAUGGUACCCCGAAGAUAAAGGGGAGGGAAACCAGACAGGUGAGCCUGUGCACAUGAAAUGUGGGAAGGAGUACACACAGCACAUGUCCAUUAAGAUUAGAGGCUGUGUGGCUGUGAGUCCUCAGAAAUACGGUAGGGUGGGGAGGAUGGGUACAAAUACCAAGAGACUAGAAAACGACUGUUGUAUAGCUUUGAAAAGACUCCAUACACUUCCAUAGUUUGCUAUGUGAGUGACAUGUGUUUUGCUGUGCUAAGAACUUGCCCUGCCCCUUGGGAAUGUGAUGGUUCCACUUUAUCAGACUCCAUAUGUGAGUUACUGAUCUCAACCACUGGACUCCAUCAUACAUAUAAACCUAAGAGUUUGACAGAGACUUUGGGAGCUUAGGUUGUGGCAGGGUGCACUCCGUCAGCCGCCUCUUUAAAAUCUGAGAGCUCAGGCUACGGCAGGGCCACACCCUAUUGGCUUUGGAGCUGAUCUCUGGAGCCUCACCAGCCUACACUAGCACCUCUCAAGCACUAAGCAUUCUUGCAUGUCAUUAUAGAUCUUCACUGUGUUGUUCACUGUGUUGAUUGAGCCUUCUCUUCCAAGAACCUCUUGUAUAAAGCUACACCUCAAACUUUAAUUAGACUUACAUUCCACCGAGGCUUGCAUCUAUCGUCAUUGAGCAACCAGACUUUAAUAAUUGGACUCUAACAAAAUUGAAGCUACGUGGUUACUGUACCACAUUAAUAGUACACAAUAAUGUACACUGCACACUAUAUAUACAGUACAGUAUGCAACGUAUAC